AGAGCGAACGCUGGCGGCAGGCCUAACACAUGCAAGUCGAGCGCCCCGCAAGGGGAGCGGCAGACGGGAGAGUAACACGUGGGAACGUACCCUUCAGUUCGGAACAACCCAGGGAAACUUGGGCUAAUACCGGAUACGUCCGUAAGGAGAAAGAUUUAUCGCUGAAGGAUCGGCCCGCGUCUGAUUAGCUAGUUGGUGGGGUAACGGCUCACCAAGGCGACGAUCAGUAGCUGGUCUGAGAGGAUGAUCAGCCUCACUGGGACUGAGACACGGCCCAGACUCCUACGGGAGGCAGCAGUGGGGAAUAUUGGACAAUGGGGGCAACCCUGAUCCAGCAAUGCCGCGUGAGUGAUGAAGGCCUUAGGGUUGUAAAGCUCUUUUACCACGACGAUGAUGACGGUAGUGGGAGAAUAAGCCCCGGCUAACUUCGUGCCAGCAGCCGC
rnacentral:rRNA from 1 species